rnacentral:rRNA from 1 species
GAUGAACGCUGGCGGCGUGCUUAACACAUGCAAGUCGAACGAAGCACUUUUAUCGAUUUCUUCGGAAUGAAGUUUUAGUGACUGAGUGGCGGACGGGUGAGUAACGCGUGGGUAACCUGCCUCACACAGGGGGAUAACAGUUGGAAACGGCUGCUAAUACCGCAUAAGCGCACAGUACCGCAUGGUACGGUGUGAAAAACUCCGGUGGUGUGAGAUGGACCCGCGUCUGAUUAGCUAGUUGGCAGGGCAACGGCCUACCAAGGCGACGAUCAGUAGCCGACCUGAGAGGGUGACCGGCCACAUUGGGACUGAGACACGGCCCAAACUCCUACGGGAGGCAGCAGUAGGGAAUAUUGCACAAUGGGGGAAACCCUGAUGCAGCGACGCCGCGUGAGCGAAGAAGUAUUUCGGUAUGUAAAGCUCUAUCAGCAAGGAAGGAGAAAUGACGGUACCUGACUAAGAAGCACCGGCUAAAUACGUGCCAGCAGCCGCAGUAA